AAGUCGUAACAAGGUUUCCGUAGGUGAACCUGCGGAAGGAUCAUUAAUGAGAUUGCUGUGGAUGUCAUGUCCACCUGCAAGAUUCAUCCUUGUGUUAUGUAAUUGUUGAUUGUGUGCUGUAACAAGUGCACGUUCAUUUUUAACCAUCAAUUCUUAUUCUUAUUCUACUGCCUGUAAAGGCACAAACAAUCGAAAACUGCCAGCAAUGGAUCACUCGGUUCUC
rnacentral:misc_RNA from 1 species